UUUCGCGUUUCAUUCGUCCGUUUAUUCUACGAACCUUGCUGUCAACUAGUCUAACGUGAUUCGAUCGAUAUUGAAUAAAUAAAGAGAUAAGCAAGUGAACGAAUCGAAUGAUAAUUAAAUUUUCGCUUCGAUACCUCGAGAAGAAAGAAAAACGAGUAACUCCGCUGACAUGAAAACCGAUAUGCCGGACGUUAAACAGGACCAGGCUAAAGUCGAAGAUCGCCGAGGUUCUUCGAAACAAAGUACGAGAUCGAGAGUGUGUACGGGCCACGGUGAACAGGAUUGCUCGAGUGAAAACGAACACGAGUUGGAGUCGCUGGAGUACGAGGAAGACGUUUAUUAUUCGAAUUUAACUGCAACUCCCAGCUUCGACGACAUAGACGAGCUGAGCGACGAUGCGGACGAAAUUAUUGUCCAUUGCUGGCGGGACUCGAACGGUGAUAUAGACGAGAUCGUGGUUGACGAUGCGAAUCUAUCGGUGGAGACGCAGUUUUUGACGCCUGACGGCGAGGACGGCGCCACUGGUCACGGAAAGAAAAAGAGGAAAUCAGUUCGAGUGAUAUUCCAGGACUUCUCGAAGCCGUAUCUGGCCAAGAUCAGCAACAGCCAAAAUUACAAGAAGUUCCUCGAGUUGGUAAAAGGAGAAGACGCGACUCUUCACUCGGCCGAUUACAUCUCGCCAACGUCAGAUAACGUAGUGAACGAGCUGCAAGGACUCUCUCUGGAAGAACAGAAUCGCCAAAAGGAGGAAUGGAGCGCGGAACUGGCCAAGGUGGAAGAGGAGAUUCAAACCCUGAGGCACGUGUUGGCGAACAAGAUCAGAGUCUCUCAAGAGCUGAAGAGGAAGCUGGGCAUCAGCGUUUGGAAAGAGAUCACCGACGACAUGAAUCAGGGCUUGAAAAACGUUAAGGAGAGUCAAGUACAUGUAGAACACUUUUCUUUGACUUUUGGUUGGGUUCUCAUUCAGUUAUCAGAACGUCGGCGAGAAACUCGGUCAGUUCAGCAAGGCGGUCACCGAGAACACUUUAUUCCAGAAGACAGAGUCUGUAUUCAAGACCACGGCUGAGAAGACGACCAGCAUUCUUGGCGGCUUCGGAAGUGGAUUAUCCAUGAAGCUCGGCCAGAUGCGUAACUCCGACAGCUUCCGUUCCCUAGAGGAACGAGUUGGAUCUGCCUACGAGAACAUGAAGACGAAAGUCGUGCCUUCAAGAUCCAGCUCAAUGCAAAGCUUCAAUGAGAUGCUUCGAGACACGGAAUCGUUACGCUCGGCGCCAACAGCUACCAGCCCGACCAUUCCGGAAGACAAACUUCUGUCUUAGAGUUGGGCAUCUCGAGUUUACAUCGAUUUCUGCCUCUUCUCUGCGUAACAUGCUGACGCGUCGAUCCACGAUGCCGGUGUUUCGCCCUAUGCUACAAACUAUCACUUUCCACUGCGUAUUGCUAUUAAUCAGGGCUAUGCGAUGUCGUCUACGUAAUCGAACGUCUAUUAAAACGAAACAAAAAAGUAAAAAAAAAAAAGUCAAGUCAGUCGUGGAAAAUGAGUUGGCUUCGCGGAUAUCGAUCGGUAUGAUGCAACGAUUCGAACAAUUUGUGUAUUUUGGAUGUUUCCUUGCGUGCACAAAGCUGUGUAGGACAGUGGACGUUGUUGGAAGCAACUUGAUGUUUCUUCGUGAUUUAAUAAGUUGCACGAUAUGCCCUGUUGAGAACAGAAAAGCUAAUUUGUGAUCCUUUCUUUUCUUUAGUGAUUAUUUUUGUUUAUUUUUUUUUUUUUUUUUUUACGGAUUGAUUUUUAGAAAUGCGUGGAGAAAUCUUGUUGAUUUUUAACAUGUGACGUUUCUUUUAUUUUGUUUCUCCUUUUUCUUUUUUGUUGUUUAAAGAACAUGCAGGAUCUCUGUGUUAAUUGAUCCUUUUACGGUGACAAGCUUAUCAGCGUUGUAUCAAUAGUUUGCGUUUCUUCGUAUCGGGAACAUGUUACUCAAGAAGAUGGCAAUUGAUUUCUUUACUUUAUCGAACUUAUUUGCACUACAGCGAUUUUAAUAACGUAUAAUAUAAUAUAUCGUUGGAUACGUACCUUAACGUUUAGCGGUUCAACCUGUUUUUGCACCACGAAUUCGUGAAAGUAGGCACACACGCUUUGAAUAGAUAUUUUACUCUGGUGGCGUUCUCGUCCCUUUCCGGAUAUCGAUAAUCUUAACAUCAGAAACGAUACCUCGAUGUAUUCCUAUGACAUACGAAUUCUGACUAGCAAUCUUCUUCGAUAAGACUCGUGCUUCGACAAUACUAUCUAUUUUCGUGUGAUAGAAAAUGAUCGAUCUGUAUCGUGCAGUCUAUUUGAAAAUAAUUCGAAUUCGUGCAGUAACAUUUGUAGAGUUUCCAGGAUUACUUUACGCGGGACACAGGUGGCCGCCAUUGUUUCACAAUUAUUCGAUUCAUCUCAAAUAUUCCCGAAAAUAUUUCUGAAUAGGUAUCUAUCUUUGUACGUUGAUAAAUGUCCUUAUAAUUACGUUAUGAAACAUUUUAUAACUCGUUGCAUUUAAGCGAGACUAAAUAACGAUCUUAAAUAACGAAGCUGUUACGGCUAUUACGACCAUGUAAUUUCGUUCAAAAUCGAAAUCUUAUCGUUGUGAGAAUUAAUAAACGCGAUACUGUUAUACAUGUUCGCAAUGAAUCAAAUUCUUCAGCACUAUGCUUGAACAUAUAGAGAAUGGUCGAUAAGUCACUUUCCUUCCCAUUUAAGAGCUUAAUUCUUUUUUAAAUUCUUAUUUCAGACUUUUGAAAAAAAUUGCAAUGUAGAAGCAAGUACAAGUAUUACAAAAAAAAAAAAAAAAAAAAAGAGAAAAGAAUACGACCUGAUUUCUUUUUGCGACAUAACAUUACACCAAACUGUAAUCUUUACAGAAUGCAAUUCUUAUUGAUGUUCAAAUCUUGAGUUUCUACUGCCCUAAAAUCUGCUAUUCUGAUAAUUGACACACCCAUUGAAUGAAAAUGUACCUGGCAUCUCUUUAAAAUAGCGUUAGAACAAUGGAGCGUCGAUUUUGAAAAUAAUAUUCAAUAAUUUUUAUUCGUUGCUCCGUAAUAAUUGUCGUUAUGAUGGAUGUUAACUUUUCUAUUAUAAAUCUUCGAAAGUCUUUAAAAAUUCGAAACAGGUAUUUAAAGAUAUACAACGAAAAAGAGUUUUAUAGAACCAAUCGAUGGGAAGGCGAGUUAUGCGUUACACUAUAUUUAAAAAGAAUUGUUUUUGCCUUGAAGAGUUUAUGAGGAUUAUAAGGAUGGCUUGGUACGGUAGUCAAUGGUACAGCGAGGCUUCCCGUGUUCCGUGAUCAUUGAGCCUUAAGGACGACUUUUAAAGAAACACGUGUAAGACCGAUCUAAUUGCAAAUUGUCUAGGAAAGCGAAGAAUAUUUUUUACUAAGCUCUAGAAUGAAAUUAUGUGGCGCGGACGCGCGAUGACCAGAGCGCGUUUGCUUGUUUAAGAAAUUCGUUAAUUUAAGAAGUCGGACACAGAUAUUAUAAAUGCGUAUACAUAAAGCAUUUUCUGCCUAUUUAACGAACUCUAUAUGUCAUUGAAACUGGAUCUAAUCCCUGCGAAUGUGUCGUAAGAUCUGCGCUCGUAUCGUCAUCGACAACCUGCUACACGAUCUACUUGUUCAUAUUGGAGAAUAAAUUAUUUUGAAAAAUGCUACACGUGAAGAGCGAUUUUUCACCCAUAGUACAGGGCGUGACUAAACGUUUGUUACAUAUUAAAAAUCUAUGUGUGCUUCUUAAUUAUAUGGAACUUAUUCGUACUUAUAAUGGCAAUUUAAUAAUAUAUUUUUUAUGAAAAUUUCUGCAGUUUCCCUUUCUUUUGCUAGUUUCAGUAGGGUCUCUACGAUUUCUAGUUAAUUAGAUAAGAUUGUUCAUUUAGAUUAAGAUUAUUCCACGGAAUAUUAUUAUAUAUUUGACAAUCAUUUUCUACGUAAUUCAUUAUACAUUGGCACUGUGUGAUUAUUAAUAGAAAUUAGAAAUAAUUCUUUGUUUUAUGAUUGAUUUUUUUCCCCUUUAUACAGAAUGUAGAAUGUUUCAGAGUUUCUUUUUUGUGUUACAUGAUACAGUGUGUCAUUGGAAUAAUCUUGCAUAUUGUUUAAGUAUAUAUGUACUUUGUAUGAUAUUUUAAGAUUACCGUCCUAAUAUAAGAAACAAUUUGUGGAAACUACUCUACUUUCGAGUGUUCCAGUUUCCUGCUUAUAAUAAAUGGACCACUUUAUAGACUAUCUUAA